AUUCAUUGGAUGCGCCUGCUGACUGCGAGCUGUUGCUCUUAGUAAUGUUUGAAGUUGGUUUGAAAAAAAACUGUUCUUUUAAUGGAGGCUACAGAAGAUGACGAAGACGAGUUAUUUUGCUUUUGAUUGACAAAAUAUAACAUGAAAGAAGUUCGUUAUAGAGUACGGAUGGAUACUUUAUAAUUAAUAUUAACAUAGGCCUGUUAUCUUCUUUCGCUUCAAUUUGCUAGAGCGGGAGAGUGAGAGAGAGAACUUAAUCGAUAUUGCGUUGAAUUUCUUUGGACAAUUGAACUCACACUUUCCAACCAAGUUCGGAAGGAUGGUUUUAAACAGCGAUAUUGUAGCAGUAGAAGUGAUUGAUCUUAUAAACAACGGUAACGGCCUGGGAUUUGGAAUAAUGGGCGGAAAAUCAACGGGUGUUGCAGUAAAAAUGAUUAUAGCAGGCGGUGUUGCGGACAACGACGGCCGUUUGAAGAUUGGCGACCAUCUACUUCAUAUUUGCCAAUGGUCAGUUAGGGGAAUGAGCUCAGAGCAGGUAGCUUUUGUUUUGAGGAAGGCGGGAAGUCAUAUCAGGCUGGUAGUUGCUCGAUCAAUAUCAGAGUCCUCAGAAGUUGCUAGGAAUCCUCCAUAUUCAGAAGCUGUUCCAAUUGAGCGUCUAGAAGAACAUUUACAUCAAUUGUACGCACUAGGUUUAACAGAGAGCUUUACAAAUGACUCUCAAGGUUUCCAAACACCCGAAAAGCAAAAGGAAGACUAUGAAAGCCCUAUUAAAGAUUAUACGAACGCUACAUUUCAUAAGGAACUAAAAGAUAAAGAGCAAAUUUUCACGCCUCCGACGUUGCAUAAAACCCAGCAAACAAUCGAGUCUAUGCCUGUAGAAACAGUAUUCGACGUCGACCUAGUUAAAGACGAGUCGGGCUUGGGCAUAAAGAUAGCCGGUCUUGUGGGUUUUUCGGCUAACGAGAAACUCUGCGGAAUAUACGUUAGGCACGUUCUCGAUGGAAGUGCGGCGGCUUUAGAUGGUCGAGUUCAGCCGCAUGAUCGGAUCGUGGAGGUAAAUGGACAGAGCUUAGAAGGUUUUACGAACGCUCAAGCUGUCGAGGUGCUGAAAUCGACUGGAAAAAUGGUUACAAUGAAAUUGGCUAGAUUAAAUAUCAGAGAGGACAGCGAAGGCAAUAAGGAAAAUAGUUCAAAGAGCUUAAACGUUAAUCAGGAUAAAAUUGAUCCAAGAAAAGAUGAUAAUGACAAUCAGCUGCCCAUCGAGGCUAACCCGGAAGAUGAGCUAGUCAGGAAUUGGGAAAAUAGGCUAAAUUGCCCUAAGGGCGAAAUAAUAAUAGCACACGUUUCAAAGUUCAGGGAUGGUGGGGGAUUAGGGGUCGGUCUCGAAGGUACUGUCGAUAUAGAGGACGGCGUAGAAGUCCGACCUCAUCACUAUAUCAGAAGUAUUCUCAAAGAAGGACCCGUCGGCCAAGAUGGUAUAUUAAUGCAAGGAGAUGAACUUCUUCAAGUUAAUGAUGAAAUUUUGUUUGGCAAGAAUUACAAGAACGUCUUAAGCAUACUAAAAAAGCUGCCACUUAACGUUCGAAUAGUCUGCCGCAGGAAAGCAUUUGUGACGUCAGAAAAGCUGUUCAAAGCGAAAUCAGAGGCAUGCCUAGUGAUGGAUCGACAUUACCCAGUUGCUAGGUGGCGUUCUGUUGAACCUCUAACAGCCGUAACAGUUUGGAACAAAGCCGUCACAGAAGUGACUCUACCAAAAACCAAUAAGGGUUUGGGUUUCUCUAUGAUAGAUUAUGAAGAUCCCUUGAAGCCAGGGGAUUGGAUAGUUAUCGUUAGGUCAUUAGUUCCUGGCGGAGUAGCUCAAGCGGACGGAAGAGUUUUACCGGGUGACAGAAUUGUUUCUGUAAACGAUAUCUCCUUGCAAAAUGGCCGUGUCAGUGACGCCGUUAAGGCACUCAAAGAGGCGCCACCUGGUCAAACUAGAAUAGGUUUGAUCAAACCCUUGUCACCAAAUUCACCAGAAAGUUCAAUGGACGAUAUAAGUGAAAAUUACGAACACAUUGAGUUUGGAGAAUUUGUCAAUAUAUGCACAGAUACUUCUUCCAUAAUUUCCAAUGAGGUGGUGGUGAGCGGUAGUACUAAGUCUUUAGAACAAUCUGCCGAGUUUAAUUCACUACUCAGGGAUGCAAAUAAUUCAACUGCAGAACCAUGUCUUUCAUCACAGAGCCCGACCACUCAGGAAAACCAACCUUCAACCCUUCACGCCAGCACAUCGACAACAUCUAUUAAACGCCAAAUAGAUCAGGCCUUAUUCUUUAACGAUCCCAUAAGAAUUACAAUUCACAGAAAGGAUGACGAGUCCCUGGGCUUAAAUAUUGUCGGCGGUAAAAUGGAUAGCGAAAUCUUUCCGAAUGAGCUUAAAUCUGGAAUAUUUGUUAAACAAGUUGCCGAAUGUGGGCCGGCGGCUGGACAACUGAAAAAGGGAGAUCAAAUAUUGGAAGUAGACGGUCAGGAUAUUAGAAAUGCAAGGCACGAACAGGCAGUUGAAGCUAUCAAAUUUGCUAAAUCGCCUAUUACGCUCCUCGUUCGUAGUAUUGGCCAAGGAAAAGAAGAAAAUGAAGGGAAUAAAGAAACGGAUGAUUUAACUGAAUCGUUGGACAAUUUACAAUUUGCUGAUUUCUUCCAAGCGACGCCCUUAGUAAAUUCCGAUUCUUGCCAGGCGUCUAAAUAUGAUGAAAAAAUCGAACUGCAAGAUAUUAAAUCAAAGAUACUUGACGAUUAAACAACUUUUACUAAAAAAAAAAGAGGAAUACUUGAUUGCUUGUUAUAAAAGUAGGUUAAUUGGCUAUCUUUAGCCAAUUUUUUACCUCUCCUUCAUCUUUUCAUCAAGCCUAGAUACCUUUUUUAUCUGAUGUUAAAUUUUCCAAACAACACAAGCAAGUUGGAGAAUUUAAAAAAAAAAUAGACCAAAUUAAUUUAAGGCCUUUAGAAGCGUUAUCUUUUUAAUCAAAAUCAAGUAAGUUUUAAGUACAGGAAAGAAUUUUUAAUGAAAAAUUCUGCAGUACAAAAUCUUUACAAUAAAAGGCAAAAAAAAGAAAGCGCCAUCUAGUGCUAACUCAAGUUUUUAUUAUUUUUUAUGGAAAUAAUCUAUUAGCCAAUUUUUUCCCCUUUAAUCUCUUGGUCUAAUCUAAAUUCGUUUUUUCACAAACAGGAAAUUUCAAGGAAAUUUCGAAUACUCUGCAUAAAAUUUCUCAUUUAAAAGAAUUUUUAUAAAAGUGAGAGAGAGAGAGAGAGAGAGACGAAAAAUGGGAAGAAGAGAAAAGAAAGUAUGGAAGAAUUUUUUUUCUGUCUGCAGAUUCUGUACUAAGGGAAUUUUAGCAAAGAGAAUAUAUGCCACAGAAAAUCCAUUGAUUAACGAUCUGAUAACACGUCCCAUGGUUCUCUAUACGCUCUAUUCUAAAUUGAAUUAAACGAACAGUUAAAAAACAAGAAAAUAGCAACCGAAAAGAAGAUAUAAGAAAAUGGUUCACAUGAUUUUUGUUUUGUUAAGAAAAGAUAUAAAAUAAUAAUAAAAAAAAAGAAUAGAGAAAAAGUUUUGUACAUGCAAAAUAAAUAAAAUACGAAAAGAACGUUGUUUAUCAUAAUUAUGAUAUAAUUUUUUUUGUUAUUAUCGCUCGUGUGACGCGAAUUUAUUAUUAAGAGUUUUUUUUAUAAUUCCUUAUUAUCUUUAUUUCUUUACAUUUUCAAGUGUUUUUCUUUUCCUUCUUUUUCCCACUUAUUCUUCUGCUUCUUCUUCAUAUGCUUUUUACAAUCUAUUUUCUUCCUAUCCCUCUUUUUUCACUUAUUACAUUCUCAUUCUUAUUAUAUAUCUAAUACAAUGUUCCUUUUCUUUUAAUAGAAUAAAAUUUUAUAUUCUUCUUUU
rnacentral:misc_RNA from 1 species